UAGUCCACGCCGUAAACGAUGGUCACUAGCUGUUCGGACUUCGGUCUGAGUGGCUAAGCGAAAGUGAUAAGUGACCCACCUGGGGAGUACGUUCGCAAGAAUGAAACUCAAAGGAAUUGACGGGGGCCCGCACAAGCGGUGGAGCAUGUGGUUUAAUUCGAUGAUACGCGAGGAACCUUACCAGGGCUUAAAUGUAAGUUGCAUUAGCUAGAGAUAGCUAUUUCUUCGGACUACUUACAAGGUGCUGCAUGGUUGUCGUCAGCUCGUGCCGUGAGGUGUCAGGUUAAGUCCUAUAACGAGCGCAACCCCUGUUGUUAGUUACCAUCAGGUCAAGCUGGGACUCUAAUGAAACUGCCUACGCAAGUAGAGAGGAAGGUGGGGAUGACGUCAAAUCAGCACGGCCCUUACGUCCAGGGGCUACACACGUGCUACAAUGGCCGGUACA
rnacentral:rRNA from 1 species